AGGAUAAACGCUGGCGGCGUGCAUGAGACAUGCAAGUCAAACGGACGAUCAGGGCUUGCUCUGGUCGUUAGUGGCGGACGGCUGAGUAACGCGUGGGUGACCUGCCCCGAAGUGGGGAAUAACUGCCCGAAAGGGUGGCUAAUACCGCAUGUGGUGGUGCGUUCAUUCGCACCAGUAAAGCCGCAAGGCGCUUCGGGAGGGGCCUGCGUCCGAUUAGCUCGUUGGUGGGGUAACGGCUCACCAAGGCGACGAUCGGUAGGUGGUCUGAGAGGACGAUCACCCAGACUGGGACUGAGACACGGCCCAGACUCCUACGGGAGGCAGCAGUGGGGAAUUUUGCGCAAUGGGGGAAACCCUGACGCAGCAACGCCGCGUGGAGGAUGAAGUCCCUUGGGACGUAAACUCCUUUCGAUCGGGACGAUUAUGACGGUACGGAAGAAGACGCCCGCUAACUUCGUGCCAGCAGCCGC
rnacentral:rRNA from 1 species